rnacentral:rRNA from 1 species
CUACGGGUUGCUCCAGUGAGGAAUAUUGCACAAUGGGGGAAACCCUGAUGCAGCAACGCCGCGUGGAGGAUGACGCAUUUCGGUGUGUAAACUCCUUUUAUCAGAGAAGAUAAUGACGGUAUCUGAUGAAUAAGCUCCGGCUAACUCCGUGCCAGCAUGGCCGCGGUAAUACGGAGGGAGCAAGCGUUACUCGGAAUCACUGGGCGUAAAGGACGCGUAGGCCGGUUGGUCAGUCAGGUGUGAAAUCCAACGGCUUGACCGUUGAACUGCACUUGAAACUACCAACCUAGAGUAUGGAAGGGGCAGAUGGAAUUAGUGGUGUAGGGGUAAAAUCCGUAGAUAUCACUAGGAAUACCGAAAGCGAAAGCGAUCUGCUGGGACAUUACUGACGCUGAGGCGUGAAAGCGUGGGGAGCAAACAGGAUUAGAUACCCCCGUAGUC